rnacentral:rRNA from 1 species
UACGUAGGGGUCGAGCGUUGUCCGGAGUUACUGGGCGUAAAGCGCUUGUAGGCGGUCCACCAAGUUUGGGGUGACAGUUGCCGACUUAAUCGGCAAAGUGCCUCAAAGACUGGCGGACUUGAGGGCCACAGAGGGACAUGGAACUCCAGGUGUAGUGGUGAAAUGCGUAGAUAUCUGGAAGAACACCAAAGGCGAAGGCAGUGUCCUGGGUGGUCGCUGACGCUGAGAGGCGAAAGCCAGGGGAGCGAACGGG